rnacentral:rRNA from 1 species
AUUGAACGCUGGCGGCAGGCUUAACACAUGCAAGUCGAGCGGUAACAUUUCAAGCUUGCUUGAAGAUGACGAGCGGCGGACGGGUGAGUAAUGCUUGGGAAUAUGCCUUAUGGUGGGGGACAACAGUUGGAAACGACUGCUAAUACCGCAUAAUGUCUACGGACCAAAGGGGGGGAUCUUCGGACCUCUCGCCAUUUGAUUAGCCCAAGUGAGAUUAGCUAGUUGGUGAGGUAAUGGCUCACCAAGGCGACGAUCUCUAGCUGGUUUGAGAGGAUGAUCAGCCACACUGGGACUGAGACACGGCCCAGACUCCUACGGGAGGCAGCAGUGGGGAAUAUUGCACAAUGGGCGCAAGCCUGAUGCAGCCAUGCCGCGUGUGUGAAGAAGGCCUUCGGGUUGUAAAGCACUUUCAGUAAGGAGGAAAGGGAUGUAGUUAAUAACUGCAUUCUGUGACGUUACUUACAGAAGAAGCACCGGCUAACUUCGUGCCAGCAGCCGCGGUAAUACGAGGGGUACAAGCGUUAAUCGGAAUUACUGGGCGUAAAGCGUUCGUAGGCGGUUGAUUAAGCAAGAUGUGAAAGCCCAGGGCUCAACCUUGGAACUGCAUUUUGAACUGGUCAACUAGAGUACUGUAGAGGGUGGUGGAAUUUCCAGUGUAGCGGUGAAAUGCGUAGAGAUUGGAAGGAACAUCAGUGGCGAAGGCGGCCACCUGGACAGAUACUGACGCUGAGGAACGAAAGCGUGGGGAGCGAACAGGAUUAGGUACCCUGGUAGUCCACGCCGUAAACGAUGUCAACUAGCCGUUUGUGUCCUAGAGACGUGAGUGGCGCAGCUAACGCACUA